rnacentral:rRNA from 1 species
UACGUAGGGGGCAAGCGUUGUCCGGAUUUAUUGGGCGUAAAGAGCUCGUAGGCGGUUCGGCAAGUCGGGUGUGAAAUCCCGGGGCUCAACCCCGGGUCUGCAUUCGAUACGGGCAGACUAGAGUUCGGUAGGGGAGUCUGGAAUUCCUGGUGUAGCGGUGAAAUGCGCAGAUAUCAGGAGGAACACCGGUGGCGAAGGCGGGUCUCUGGGCCGAUACUGACGCUGAGGAGCGAAAGCGUGGGGAGCGAACAGG